AGUCAGAUGAAUCUAUUAACUUGUCUGGUGAUAGGAGUGUUGGCUGUGGUCAUCAUGGUGAGGAGAGAAAAGACCUUACUCUCUCCCUUCUUGCCCUGUAUCACCACCAGCUUCAAGCUUGAAGUGGCUGCCUUGUCUCCUCUUAGGCAGACUUAACCGCUACAUGUGGACACUCAACUUCUACCUUCUUAGCUCCCUUGCUGAUGUCACUCUGUAACAUAUGCACAGUGACAUCUUUGGCCUUCCCCAGUUGUGAUACCCUGAUAGCAAGGUCAGGCAGGGAUACUGAGUCCUUGUGCUCAUGGGAUAAGGUCUAACUUCAGAAGCUGUAAGCAAGGUUGAGGGACAAAAGUCCGCUAUUAUGCAAGUCUCGGGUCUUAAAGGCAGAGGGAUCGUUGUGAUGAUUUGUUUCAGUUGUCAUCUUGACACAAUCUAGACUCACCUAGGAGGGAAGUCUCAGUGAGGGAUUGUCUAGAUUAGGCGGGUCUGUGAGGAUGUCUUUAGAAUUAUAUUGAAUAUAUUAAUUGAAGGGAUACUUUUUUACUGUGAGUGGCGACAUUCCCUAGGCAGGGCACCUGGAACUAUGUAAGAGUGAAGAAAGCCAGUAUGCAUGCUCAGUCCAGUCCUCGCUGCUCUUGAUUGCAAUGGGAUGUGAUCAGCCGCUGCCACAUUGCCUUGAAUUCCUCACAGCAAUGGACAGCAAUCAAUCUUACCUCCUGUAAGUGCUUUUUGUUAAGGGUAUUUUAUCAUGGCUACCAGGAUCCAAAACUAAGACACUCUUUCCAAAGCUGGAGGGAAGUGUUUGAAUAGAUAGCAUCCUAUUCAAGCCUGGUGCUCUUUGAAAUGAUAUUUGUGUAUAAUUAAUAAUUAACCACGUGACACCUUAGAAGAACUAGGUCUUUCUGAAUCCACUCAUGAAUACCACACCUCUACAUGGAAAUUUUAGUUCUAAAACAUUCUUGGUGAGUACCAUGAGGGGUUGGGAAGGGAACAAAGAUGGGUAAUAUUUCUUUAUUAAAACCAGGUACUGCCUCCCUAGGGUAUCUCUAGAAAUGUGUCCUGGAACUUGGAAUUAUCACAUUGAUGUGAGAGAGUGUGUUUUGGAAUUUUGGGAAAAGGAAAGGGAAUAGGGAAAACAAUUAUUCCACCUCAGCCUGUAUUGGAAAAUAAUUAAACAUAGAUUUAGAUUCUACUAUAUCUGUGACCCAAGAGUGUGUUUUGGGAUUUGGGCUGAUUUGUAUCCACCCAAGUCUUUUCCUUAUUUGCAAGGCCUGGACCUAUAGUGAAAAAAUCCACUCCUCAGUCAUAUAUGAGCCAUAAUGUUCACUCAUAUGCAUAUCUAAAGGCUGUUUGUUUCAUAGGGUAAUUGGUAAAUCACUGACCUGUAGUUCUGGGGAUAGAUCCCAGGGCCUUCUCUAUACCAGGCAAGACCUCCAUAAUGAAACUUUAGCCUCAGUCCACCUUUACUUUUAACCUUGAAGAGAAUCUUUUAAAUUAUUCUAUGUUUUCCAGGCUGGCCUUGAAGUCAGAAGUCAUUUAGUAGCCCAGGAAAACACCAGAAUAAAGAAUCUCCUGUAUCAACUGCCUGAGGAGCUCAGACCAUAGGUCUCUACCACCAGGCCCUACUCAUUCUCUCUUUGUAUUGUAUGGGUAUGUGGGUGGGAGAGACUGAGCAAGCCUGUGCUAUGACAAACUUGUCAAGGUCAGAGGACAACUCCAGGUGUCCACUCCUUACUUGGCACCAAACACCAUUCCUCACACUUGUAUGGCAAACACUUUGACCAUUGAGCUACUUCCACAACCCAGGAAAUCUGCACACUAUUUAAGCUUGAGAAAGACAAAGCUCUUGGGCAGUACCAGUCUCCUAUAGGCUAGGCAAGUGUUCUACAACUAAGCUACACCAUAGUCUGUACUUUACUUUCCAUUUUAAAAACAGGAUCAUGCUAAGUUACCCAGACUGGUCUUGGAUUCAUUCAGUAGCCCAAUCUGCUGUCAAGUUAAUGGUCUUCCUGCCUCAGCCUCCUGAAAGCUGACAUCAUAGACAUUGACUGCAUGGUAGCCUUCUGUUGAUGAUGACCAGAGUUUGCCAGUCAUCACUGAUUGUUCCUUGUAUAAAUCCCAGAACAGCCUCUAUGGUAAGUUUUUUCACUGCUUCCCCUUACAGAGAUGGGGACUGAAAUUUGGACAGGGUAGAAGAGCUAGCUAGCAGUGCUUGAGUUGGGGUGAACAGCCCUGAGCAAUAAUGCCCACUCCCCAACUGUGUUAUCCAUCCAGGACAUGUUCUCAAGAUCCCGUGCUUUGCUUUGGUCGUAUCCAUACACCAAUAUGACCUUUACAGUACUCUGUGCCCCAGCUCUGUUGCUCAUUUAAUGUCUGCAAUGGCUUUCAGUUUUAAGGAACAUUGAAGCUGGGAUGGUUUUCCUUAAUGUAGAGUGGAAAUAAAAACACUAUUGAAUUCAAAGCGGGUUCCUAAGAGUUCCUAGUGACAGACUUGCUCUAUAUUACUUGUACUUUUCUUAUCAGUGUGACCAAAUAUCUGACAGAAAUAACCAAAGAAGGGUCAACUUCAGCCCACAGCUCAGGGUCCAAUCCAUCAUGGCAGCAGGUAGCAGAUGGUCACAUUCUAUCCUUAGUCAGGAAGUGGGGAGAGAUGAAUUCUGGUUCUCAGCCUGCCCUUCCCUUAUAUACAUUCUAGGACUGCAGCUUGCCAAGCAGUACUUCACACAUUCCAAGCAGAUCUCCUGUUCCAAUCAACCCAGUUUAAAGAUUUCCUGAUAAUUAUGGCCAGAGGUUUAUUCCUUUGGUGAUUCUAGAUGCUUUCAGGUUGACAAUCUUUACUGCCCAUCACACUCUGUGUUUGUUGAAAAGGGAGAUAAGGUGUUAGAGAAUAAAGAUGUGUAGGUAGCAAGCAGUGUUGCUGGAAGGUUACCAUUAACAUUGUGAGCAAACUGAGUUUAAGGUGACUUACUGACUUCAGGCACUGACAGCUUUUCAUCUCUAGCUGUUGCCAGAUGCUAAGGUCUGGAGGCCAUUUUAACUUCCCAUAAUAUUGAAAGAUAUUGAGAGUGGUGGUCUAGAAGUGUUGCAUGAGAUGUUAUUGAAAAGAUGGAGGGUCCAGCAUGAUGGUUCAGUGAUAGUUGCCACCAAACUUUAUAUCUUGAGUUCAAAUAUAAGAAUACAGAUGAUAAAAGAUUGUUGUCUUAUGGCUUCCAGAUAUAUGAAUAGAUAGAUGAUAGAUGAUAGAUAGAUAGAUAGAUAGAUAGAUAGACAGACAGACAGACAGACAGAAAG
rnacentral:lncRNA from 1 species